UACGUAGGGGGCAAGCGUUGUCCGGAUUUAUUGGGCGUAAAGAGCGUGUAGGCGGUCCGGUAAGUCCGUUGUGAAAGUCAGGGGCUCAACCCUUGAAUGCCGGCGGAUACUGUCGGGCUAGAGUCCGGAAGAGGCAAGUGGAAUUCCCGGUGUAGCGGUGAAAUGCGCAGAUAUCGGGAGGAACACCUAUGGCGAAGGCAGCUUGCUGGGACGGUACUGACGCUGAGACGCGAAAGCGUGGGGAGCAAACAGG
rnacentral:rRNA from 1 species